rnacentral:rRNA from 1 species
UACGGAGGAUCCGAGCGUUAUCCGGAAUUAUUGGGUUUAAAGGGUGCGUAGGCGGCCAUUUAAAUCAGCGGUGAAAUUUUGCAGCUUAACUGUAACAGUGCCGUUGAUACUGUUUGGCUAGGAUUUGGUUGUAGUGUGCGGAAUGUGUGGAGUAGCGGUGAAAUGCUUAGAUAUCACACAGAACACCGAUUGCGAAGGCAGCACACUAAGUCAUUAUUGACGCUGAGGCACGAAAGUGUGGGGAUCAAACAGGAUUAGA